UUGUUCCAUGCAUGCUUGUGUGUUUCAUUCUCUGUUUCCUUGCGUGCCUGUUUAACUUCUUGCUUAGUUGUUUGGUUCUUACUUGCUUCCUUGUUUUCUUCUUUCAAUCCUUACUAGCCUCUUCCUUCCUUGCUUGUUUGUUUCCUUCCUUGGUUCCAUGUGUGCUUGUUGAUUUCUUUCCUAGGUUCCAUGUGUGCUUGUUGAUUUCUUUCCUAGGUUUCCAUGUGUGCUUGUUGAUUUCUUUCUUAGGUUCCAUGUGUGCUUGUUGAUUUCUUUCCUAGGUUCCAUGUGUGCUUGUUUGUUUAUUUCCUUGGUUCCAUGCGUGCUUGAUUAUUUUUUUUCUUGUGUGCUUGUUUUUUUCUUUUU
rnacentral:sRNA from 1 species